AAAUCCAGAUUUCGUAAAAAGGGGGGUGGGGCACAAAACAGGCUUAGUUAGGAAUAUGUGCAUUAAACUGUUAACCUAUAUGUAUCUCUUUAAGGUGUCCAGACCCCCUUCCCCUCAUUGUUCCGACUCUGAUAUUGUUGAUAGGAGCAAACAUUUAAUUCGGGGGGGGGGGGGGGGUCUUGUAUCCUCGUCUCAUGGGUUUUCGUGCUAUUAAGAAUGCUUUGUGACGUCGCUGUAAGACUUCAAAGCAAAAAAAUAAAAUAGCCUUUCAAGACGUCAUAAUUAAUUGGACUAUAGUAGUACCGUUGUAGUUCACUGAAUUUUCAGAAGAAACAGUCAGUCCAUCAUGUCUAUGCACACAUUUUAUUAAUGUAUGAAUCUUUGGUUUUGUUUGUGAAACAUCAUUGAGUUUUUAUUUACAUUCUGUAUAGGUAACAGUAUUCGUCCCUGUACAUAAAAUCAUAGUUUCAUGUAUUUUAACUUUGCAAGAAAUAAGAUCCCAAUGGCCCAUAGUGCAACAUCUUUUACACAUAUAAACACUGAAAUUAUAGUUACACUACAUUUGUUAAAGAGAAACUAAGAAUACCAAAAGAACAUUCAAAAUCAUAAGUUGAAAAUAAACUGACAAUACCAAAGGAUCAUUCAAACUCGUAAGUCAAAAAUUAACCGACAAGUUAUUAAUAUAUUUUAUUUAAACCUUUAAAUAAAUUUAAUAAUUUGUUUGUAUGUAUUUAUAGGACUGUGACACAGUAGUGGGAAUGAAAUCCCUAGAAUAUAGAUCAAAUCGAAGAAAAGAUCAGAUAUAAAACAAUGAAGAAAGAAAAGGAUGACUUAAUUUCAAAAGCAGAUUUUACAAAUGUUCACCUGACAACCAAGAGCCUUUAUCAUUCAAAAGAAGAUAGUUCCGUAAUGAACAAUUCCUGUAUGAUAGGAGAUGGACUGACUAUUUCUGUUUUGUUGAGGAUAAAAUUCAUGUGAUUUUACAUUUUCCUGUUAAUGACUAUAUAUGGCAAAUUCUCUUUAUUAAAUCUAUUAACACUUAUGAAAUUGGUGAUGAAAAUGUUAUAAUUUUUCAAGGGAAAAUAAUGUAAACUUGUUAUUGUUUCUCAUAAAUCUGUACAGAUUAUAUCAAGAUUUAUAAUUGUAUUUUUUGUUUGCUUUAAGUGAGACUUUUAAAUAAAAUAUUGAAAUAA